rnacentral:rRNA from 1 species
UACAGAGGUCUCAAGCGUUGUUCGGAUUCAUUGGGCGUAAAGGGUGCGUAGGCGGCGCGGUAAGUCGGGUGUGAAAUCUCGGGGCUCAACUCCAGAACUGCCUUUGAUACUGAGGAUCUCGAGUCCGGGAGAGGUGAGUGGAACUGCGAGUGUAGAGGUGAAAUUCGUAGAUAUUCGCAAGAACACCAGUGGCGAAGGCGGCUCACUGGCCCGGUACUGACGCUGAGGUGCGAAAGCGUGGGGAGCAAACAGG